GACGAACGCUGGCGGCGUGCUUAACACAUGCAAGUCGAGCGGUAAGGCCCCUUCGGGGGUACACGAGCGGCGAACGGGUGAGUAACACGUGGGUGACCUGCCCUCAGCUCUGGGAUAAGCCUGGGAAACUGGGUCUAAUACCGGAUAUGACUCCAUGACGCAUGUCGUGGGGUGGAAAGCCUUGUGCGGCUGGGGAUGGGCCCGCGGCCUAUCAGCUUGUUGGUGGGGUGAUGGCCACCAAGGCGACGACGGGUAGCCGGCCUGAGAGGGCGACCGGCCACACUGGGACUGAGACACGGCCCAGACUCCUACGGGAGGCAGCAGUGGGGAAUCUUGCGCAAUGGGCGAAAGCCUGACGCAGCGACGCCGCGUGAGGGAUGACGGCCUCGGUU
rnacentral:rRNA from 1 species